GACGAACGCUGGCGGCGUGCUUAACACAUGCCAGUCGAACGGAAAGGCCCUGCUUGCAGGGUGCUCGAGUGGCGAACGGGUGAGUAACACGUGGGUGAUCUGCCCCUUACUUUGGGAUAAGCCUGGGAAACUGGGUCUAAUACUGGAUAGGACCAUGCUGUAGGUGGUGUGGUGGAAAGAUUAGUUUCGGUAAGGGAUGAGCUCGCGGCCUAUCAGCUUGUUGGUGGGGUAAUGGCCUACCAAGGCGUCGACGGGUAGCCGGCCUGAGAGGGUGGACGGCCACAUUGGGACUGGGAUACGGCCCAGACUCCUACGGGAGGCAGCAGUGGGGAAUAUUGCACAAUGGGCGCAAGCCUGAUGCAGCGACGCCGCGUGGGGGAUGACGGCCUUCGGGUUGUAAACUCCUUUCAGCCAUGACGAAGCCCUUGUGGUGACGGUAGUGGUAGAAGAAGCACCGGCUAACUACGUG
rnacentral:rRNA from 1 species